GAUGAAGAACGUAGUGAAAUGCGAUAAGUAAUGUGAAUUGCAGAAUUCAGUGAAUCAUCGAAUCUUUGAACGCACAUUGCGCCCGCUGGUAUUCCGGCGGGCAUGCCUGUUCGAGCGUCAUUUCAACCCUCAAGCCCCCGGGUUUGGUGUUGGGGAUCGGCUCUGCCCUUCUGGGCGGUGCCGCCCCCGAAAUACAUUGGCGGUCUCGCUGCAGCCUCCAUUGCGUAGUAGCUAACACCUCGCAACUGGAACGCGGCGCGGCCAUGCCGUAAAACCCCAACUUCUGAAUGUUGACCUCGGAUCAGGUAGGAAUACCCGCUGAACUUAAGCAUAUCAAUAAGCGGAGGA
rnacentral:misc_RNA from 1 species